UUAGCUCAGUCAGUUAGAGUGUGGUGCUAAUAACGCCGAGGUCGCGGGUUCGAACCCCGUA
rnacentral:tRNA from 1 species